GCUCCAGUUAGGCAAUCGGUUAGCGCUGCGUACUUAUAUAACAGUACCGGAGAAAUGCAGAGGUUGUGAGUUCGAGCCUCACCUGGAGCA
rnacentral:tRNA from 1 species